UUUAUAUUUUUGAUAUUUAUUUUAUAUAUUUAAAUGCCAUUUAACAAAGAAAAAUCAACCAAAAAAAUGAGUUCUCGUGUCACCUCUGACACGCGUGUCAUAGGUUCGCCAUCACUGCUCUAGACCCACAUUUCUACACAUUACAGGACAGCCCCACCAGGAGGCCGCGUAGAUAAGAACACUAGCUCUGAAGAGGUGGCCAUGAUCACCCAGAAAGUAAGAAAUGAAGCCAGAAUUCUGUACACUUCAUUGCUUGGCUCAAGGAUGCAGGCCCAUGGUGGAUAGAGCCGGGUCUUAUUCAUUAAAUGUACGCUGGAUACUGAA